GCAUGUUCAGUGAAAUCGAGUAGGGCGGGACACGUGUUAUCCUGUCUGAAUAUGGGGGGACCAUCCUCCAAGGCUAAAUACUCCUGACUGACCGAUAGUGAACCAGUACCGUGAGGGAAAGGCGAAAAGAACCCCUGUGAGGGGAGUGAAAUAGAACCUGAAACCGUGUACGUACAAGCAGUAGGAGCACCUUCGUGGUGUGACUGCGUACCUUUUGUAUAAUGGGUCAGCGACUUAUAUUCAGUGGCAAGGUUAACCAUCUAGGGGAGCCGUAGGGAAACCGAGUCUUAACUGGGCGCCAUAGUCUCUGGAUAUAGACCCGAAACCGAGUGAUCUAGCCAUGGGCAGGUUGAAGGUUGAGUAACAUCAACUGGAGGACCGAACCGACUAAUGUUGAAAAAUUAGCGGAUGACUUGUGGCUAGGGGUGAAAGGCCAAUCAAACUCGGAGAUAGCUGGUUCUCCCCGAAAGCUAUUUAGGUAGCGCCUCGGACGAAUACUACUGGGGGUAGAGCACUGUUAAGGCUAGGGGGUCAUCCCGACUUACCAACCCUUUGCAAACUCCGAAUACCAGUAAGUACUAUCCGGGAGACACACGGCGGGUGCUAACGUCCGUCGUGGAGAGGGAAACAACCCAGACCGCCAGCUAAGGUCCCAAAUUACAGCUAAGUGGGAAACGAUGUGGGAAGGCUUAGACAGCUAGGAUGUUGGCUUAGAAGCAGCCAUCAUUUAAAGAAAGCGUAAUAGCUCACUAGUCGAGUCGGCCUGCGCGGAAGAUGUAACGGGGCUAAGUUGUAAACCGAAGCUGCGGCAAUGUUCUUUGAACAUUGGGUAGGGGAGCGUUCUGUAAGCCGUUGAAGGUGUGUUGUAAAGCAUGCUGGAGGUAUCAGAAGUGCGAAUGCUGACAUGAGUAACGACAAGGGGGGUGAAAAACCUCCCCGCCGGAAGACCAAGGGUUCCUGUCCAACGUUAAUCGGGGCAGGGUAAGUCGACCCCUAAGGCGAGGC
rnacentral:rRNA from 1 species